GAAUCUUUUUUCCGAUGUCUUUAUAUAAAGAGUGCUUGAUCUGUAAAGAUUGUGGGAAGUUGGUGAGAAAGAUGGAGGAGUAUGGGCGAUGGGGAAAGUGAGUUGUGGAAGUUCUUCGGAAUGGGAAGAUAGGAAAGAACCAAAGUGUUGUCAGAAACAUCUUUGUUUUCUUUCUUUCUUUCUUUCCUACUCCUCCCAUUCCAUUGGUUUCCUGCUAUUCCUCCCUUUCGCUAGCUUUUCUUGCUUCGAUCGAUUAUUCUAGCUGUUUUCUGCAUCAUCGGGCGGUUUAUUCGAGUCUUUCUGUGAAUCCAGAUCGGCUGCUCAUAAUAAUAAGUCUUUACUAUCUUUCUUCGUUUAGUUUGUUUGCAGUUUCUUUUGUUGUUCUGUGUGAGUGAGUUAUAAAUAUGUAUGCGGGGAGAGAGGGUGAAGAGGGAAGGGGAGAGAGAAGUGCAGGAAGUUUUGGGUUUGGGAAGCUAGGAAAGAAGGAUUUCUUUUGAGGAAGUUCUUUCCUAGACCACCCAUUCCACUGAUUUCCUGCCAUUCCUCCUUUUCCCUAUCUUUUCCUGCUUUGAUAAUUUCAUCUGCUCCGAUGGUUUGGUUUUGGGAUCAUUCAUUCCUACUGGCAAGUGAGAAUAAAUUUUUGGAGGAAUUCAAAUCAUUAAAUUAGAAGGUUAGGGUUUCAGUUGAUUCAACAUGACCCCCAAAAAAAUAAUUUUAUGAUCUAAUUUUCUCCCAAUUUUAUUUGUAUUAUUUUUGGGGUGAAUCAGUCGGGUUGUUUCUAGUGAUGGGAAUUGAGGAAGAACUUUCUGGUAAUUAAGGAAAGGAAAAUGCUAGUUUGGCUUGUGUAUUUAAUUAUUAUUAUUAUUUUUUUAUUUUUUAAAAAUAUAUCCUGCCCCACAGCUCUUCUGGUAAAGGUCUCUGGGUAGAAGGAUCUGGAUCCUCUGUUUUGAAAUGGUUGAAAAGAAGCCAUGGGUACGAGUUAUCCUUCAUUGUAAUUUUAAAUUGGAAAAAAGCAAAUACCGAUUAGCAACCAAUACUAAUUACAGGCUUUGAGAUUUCCUUUUUCUGAGUUGAGCUACUGUUAGCUCGAGUUAGUUUAGAUUUUUUAAUUUAUGUGUAAUAAUAUUGAGAUAUAUUAAUUGAAAUGAAAAGAAAUUAUUUUUAUAAA